rnacentral:lncRNA from 1 species
AUGAGCACCAUCAGCACCAAAACUAUCGGCACCAACACUAUCAGCACCAUCAACACUAUCAGCACCAAAACUAUCGGCACCAAAACUAUCGGCACCAACACUAUCAGCACCAUCAGCACCACCACACUAUCAGCACCAUCAACACUAUCAGCACCAUCACCACCAAAACUAUCAGCACCAUCAACACUAUCAGCACCAUCAGCACCAUCAACACUAUCAGCACCAUCAACACCACCAACACUAUCAGCACCAUCAACACUAUCAGCACCAUCACACCAGCAGCACCAUCAGCACCACCAACACUAUCAGCACCAUCAGCACUAUCAGCACCAUCAGCACCACCAGCACCAUCAGCACCACCAACACUAUCAGCACCAUCACCACCAAAACUAUCAGCACCAUCAGCACUAUCAGCACCACCAACACCAGCAGCACCAUCAGCACCACCAACACUAUCAGCACCAUCAACACUAUCAGCACCAUCAACACUAUCAGCACCAUCAGCACUAUCAGCACCACCAACACCAGCAGCACCAUCAGCACCACCAACACUAUCAGCACCAUCAACACUAUCAGCACCAUCAACACUAUCAGCACCAUCAGCACCACCAACACUAUCAGCACCACCAACACUAUCAGCACCAUCAACACUAUCAGCACCAUCAGCACUAUCAGCACCAUCAGCACUAUCAGCACCACCAACACUAUCAGCACCAUCAACACUAUCAGCACCAACACUAUCAGCACCAUCAGCACCACCAACACUAUCAGCACCAUCAGCACCAACACCAGCAGCACCAUCAGCACCACCAACACUAUCAGCACCACCAACACUAUCAGCACCAUCAGCACUAUCAGCACCAUCAACACUAUCAGCACCACCAACACUAUCAGCACCAUCAACACUAUCAGCACCAACACUAUCAGCACCAUCAGCACCACCAACACUAUCAGCACCAUCAGCACCAACACCAGCAGCACCAUCAGCACCACCAACACUAUCAGCACCACCAACACUAUCAGCACCAUCAACACUAUCAGCACCAACACUAUCAGCACCAUCAGCACCACCAACACUAUCAGCACCAUCAACACUAUCAGCACCAUCAGCACCAACACCAGCAGCACCACCAGUACAGUGUCAGACUGCUGGUGUCUCAGGUAAACAUUGAUUAUUAA